CACAGUUCCACAUGGCUGGGGAAACUUACAAUCAUGGUGGAAGGCACCUCUUCACAGGGUGGCAGGAGAGACAGUGAGUGCUGAGCAAUGGGGGAAAAGCCCCUUGUAAAACCAUCAGAACUAGUGAGAACUCACUCACUAUCACAAGAAGAGCAUGGGGGUUACUGCCCCCAUGAUUCAAUUACUCCCACCAGGUCCCUCACACAACACCUGGGGAUUAUGGGAACUACAAUUCAAGAUGAGAUUUGGGUGGGGACGCAGUCAAACCAUCUCAGUUGCCCAGGCUGGUCUCAAGUUCCUGGCCUCAAACGAUCCUCUCGCCUCGACUUCCCAAAGUGCUGGGAUUAUAGGUAUGAGCCACCGUCCCCAACUUAGGAAUUCAUUUUAAAUGCCUUCCAGUAUUAUGCUGCUGCUAGAAAUGCAAUUCUAAAAAGUACACCCAAAACACCAAAAAUACUUACGCAAUGUAACAUUAACAAGACAAGAAUUCAAAAUAGACACACCAUAAAUAUAACAAUGUAAAAAAUAUAUGCAGGCGGGAGGUAACAAGUAAAAACAAACUGUACUGGAGUAGGGUGACUUUAAAAAUAAAAUCUCUUAUUUCCUACAUUAAUUAUUUGCUACCAAUGUUUGUUCUUUUUUUUUUUUUUUUUUGCCUGGGAUUAAUCAUCAGUAGGUGGAAGUUUGUAGAGAAACAUUUGAUAUCUACAAAAUGAACCACAAAUGUGGCUAAACGUGCCAGCUACAUGACUUUUUUUUUUUUUUCUUUUUUUCCUGAGACAAAGUCUUGUUCUCUUAUCCAGGCUGGAAUGCAAUGGCGCGAUCUCGGCUCACUGCAACCUCCGCCUUCCAGGUUCAAGCAAUUCUCCUGGCUCAGUCCUGAGUAGCUGGGACUACAGGCAAGUGUCACCACUCCUGGCUAAAUUUUAUUUUUUCCUGAUUUAGCAGAUACGUUUAUUCAACACAGUGCAUGAUUCAAAGC
rnacentral:lncRNA from 1 species